rnacentral:rRNA from 1 species
GACGAACGCUGGCGGCGUGCUUAACACAUGCAAGUCGAACGGAAAGGCCCUGCUUUUGUGGGGUGCUCGAGUGGCGAACGGGGGUGUAACACGUGAGUAACCCGCCCUUGUCUUUGGGAUAACUCCAGGAAACUGGGGCUAAUACCGGAUAGGAGCUCCUGCUGCACGGUGGGGGUUGGAAAGUUUCGGCGGUUGGGGAUGGACUCGCGGGAUAUCAGCCUGUUGGGGGGGUUGUGGCUUACCAAGGUUUUGACGGGUAGGCGGCCUUGGAGGGGGACCGGCGACAAUGGGACUACGGGACGGACCAGACGCCUACGGUAGGCAGCGGUGGGAAAUUUGACGGAGUGGCCGGAAGUCUGAGGCAGCAACCCCGCGUGCGUAAUGACGUCCUACGAGGUAUAAACCAAUGUCGCCUGUAACGAAGCGGUAGUGACGGUAAUUAGUAAAGAAGCACCGGCUAACUACGUG